CACCCCGCGUACCGGGCUGGGAUGGCCUCUACAGCCCGGACCAUCCCGGCGCGCUGCUCCGGAACUGGCAGCGGUGACACCUGGCAGUCCCUCCUGUCACAGCUGCCGUCACCUCCCGUGCGUGUGACAGCACUGGCCUCUCUCCCUGACUGCAGCCCGUGAGUGCCUGGGCUGGAGAAAGCCGAAAUUUGGCCAUCCUGCAUCUUCGAAGUACAAACAUAUCCAGUCCAGACUCAGAAUGAGCUGCAGCAACUGGAUAAAUCUACUGGGACCAUGAAGAAUUCAAGUGGUUAAUUUGGGUUAAAAGUCUCUCUGCAGGUGGAAUGCCUUCUGUCCUUCAAGUGGCUCAGCAGAUCAGCCAGGAGGAAAACCAACAGCAAAAUGGACCAAAUUUGUCAAAUCUGCUUAAUUCCUUACGUGCUGCACACAGCAGGCACCCAGCUCUGCCCCAGCAGGUACAACCAGCAGGGUGGCAUAAGAACCAUGUGCUUGUGGUCCCAGCUCCAGUUCCCUCACAACAACAGGAAAAUGAAAUUCUGCAGUGAACAGCAGCACUGGGGAAGGAAAGUUUUUGAUCUCUGAAACCUCUGCCCAAACUCCAUGAGGCCCUACAGCACAAAUCACACCAUGAUUUAUCUUUUGGAAGAAAUGCAGUGGAUGGCAACAGAUUUUUUUCAAGAAAGAAGAUGAAAGAUGAUAACUGCCAAGAGACACACAGACUGGUCUCUAUUUGAUGUGAUUGGAAUGGAAAACCAAAUCAUUUGCUAUGAAGCACAAAUGCUGCCAAAACUGAAGGUAACUGGAAAGUUUAUUGAAGAGAUCUCCUGCUCCCCUUCAUCACCCAGGCUUGAACCAGUGAAGCUCCAACCAAACAGAGAUCUGUGUGUGUUCCCAGCUGUAGCUGUUGCUCCUCCCUGUUUGUAUGGAGCAAACCCUUCUUACCCAUGGACCAUGGAAUGCAACCCUGCAGUUCAGUCUUGAGGAGCAGAGAUGGUGCAGGUAUUGAUGAUUCAGGAAUUCAGAAAAAGCUUCAACCAAGAGAAGUGAUCCUUCUGUGCUGUCCUGUCUUCCCACACUCCCUGCACAGGUGGCAGUCAUACAGAUGUGAUUCCUCUUGUCUUCUGUGACACUGAUGGACACAGAGAUGGGAAGGUGUGACAAAAGAGCAAGAGGCAGAGAUAGCCACACAUACAGGUUUGUAAGUGGUGAUUCUAUUGAAGAGAGGCUGUUGAAAAAGAGUAUUAAACAUGAUUCAAGAACUGGCUGCUCAGGGAGGGCAUUGUUCAACAGACUGUUUAUCCCAGGCUUCUUUGGGAACCAGUGGUGUAUGUUCAUGGUUAAAUUGAGUAGAAAUCCUGAACUGUCAGCUCAUAUAGAAAAUCAGAAGCACGAAUGAAUUUCACGGGGACCUUUUUCUCAUCAAAGGCUCUGUGAUGAUCUUGAGCCUUAAGUAGUGUUUACUGUCCAAGAAUCAAAUCUGUGCUUGUGUUGAUGUAAAGAAAAGCCUGAAGUGCGGCUCCAUGUGAGGUACCAAAGUCCUUCCUCAUGUCCGGGUGGACCCUCCUGAGCAUCAGUGAGUGCGCGUUGUCUCUUGUCCUGUCACCUGCACCACCGAGCAGAGCCGGCCGUGCUCCGCGCUCCCUGCACGCCCUGACAGACGGGGAUGGGGUUCCCUCUCAGCUCGGGGCUCAACAGCGCCGUCGGAGAUGCUCCAGCCGCUCCAUCUCCGUUGUUCCCCGGCCGGCCCCGCUCCGGGCGCUCCCCGCCUCUCCUGCCCUGGGGGCUCAAGCCCCGCCAGCUGCAAGUGCGGCUUUUCACACCGUGUAUUGAAGAGUAGCGACAGCCUCGCUCCGUGCGCGGACAGAAACUGCCCUUUGCUGGCUGCUUCCCCUGCCCUGCCUCUGCUACAAUAAAUAUCAUUUCUCUGCACUGUC